UACGUAGGGGGCAAGCGUUGUCCGGAUUAUUGGCGUAAAGAGCGUGUAGGCGGCCAGGUAGGUCUGCUGUGAAAACUCGAGGCUUAACCUCGAGCUGUCGGCGGAAACCAUCUGGCUAGAGUCCGGAAGAGGAGAAUGGAAUUCCCGGUGUAGCGGUGAAAUGCGCAGAUAUCGGGAAGAACACCCGUGGCGAAAGCGGCUCUCUGGGACGGUACUGACGCUGAGACGCGAAAAGCGUGGGGAGCGAACAGG
rnacentral:rRNA from 1 species